UGGGGAAUAUUGCACAAUGGGCGCAAGCCUGAUGCAGCCAUGCCGCGUGUAUGAAGAAGGCCUUCGGGUUGUAAAGCACUUUCAGCGGGGAGGAAGGCGAUAAGGCUAAUAACCUUGUCGAUUGACGUUACCCGCAGAAGAAGCACCGGCUAACUCCGUGCCAGCAGCCGCGGUAAUACGGAGGGUGCAAGCGUUAAUCGGAAUUACUGGGCGUAAAGCGCACGCAGGCGGUCUGUCAAGUCGGAUGUGAAAUCCCCGGGCUCAACCUGGGAACUGCAUUCGAAACUGGCAGGCUAGAGUCUUGUAGAGGGGGGUAGAAUUCCAGGUGUAGCGGUGAAAUGCGUAGAGAUCUGGAGGAAUACCGGUGGCGAAGGCGGCCCCCUGGACAAAGACUGACGCUCAGGUGCGAAAGCGUGGGGAGCAAACA
rnacentral:rRNA from 1 species